rnacentral:rRNA from 1 species
CAGUCGCCACGGUAAUACGUAGGGUGCGAGCGUUAAUCGGAAUUACUGGGCGUAAAGCGUGCGUAGGCGGUUCGUUAAGUCUGUUGUGAAAGCCCCGGGCUCAACCUGGGAAUGGCAAUGGAUACUGGCGAGCUAGAGUGUGUCAGAGGAUGGUGGAAUUCCCGGUGUAGCGGUGAAAUGCGUAGAUAUCGGAAGGAACACCUGUGGCGAAAGCGGCUCACUGGACCAUAACUGACGCUGAUGCACGAAAGCUAGGGGAGCAAACAGGAUUAGAUACCCCAGUAGUCCCUGUCUCUUAUAC